rnacentral:rRNA from 1 species
GGGCCCGCACAAGCGGUGGAGCAUGUGGUUUAAUUCGAUGAUACGCGAGGAACCUUACCAGGGCUUAAAUGUAAGUUGCAUGGAUCAGAGAUGGUCCUUUCUUCGGACUACUUACAAGGUGCUGCAUGGUUGUCGUCAGCUCGUGCCGUGAGGUGUCAGGUUAAGUCCUAUAACGAGCGCAACCCCUAUCGUUAGUUGCCAGCAAGUAAAGUUGGGUACUCUAGCGAGACUGCCGGUGCAAACCGAGAGGAAGGUGGGGAUGACGUCAAAUCAUCACGGCCCUUACGUCCUGGGCUACACACGUGCUACAAUGGCCGGUACAGAGAGCAGCCACUACGCGAGUAGGAGCGAAUCUUCAAAGCCGGUCUCAGUUCGGAUCGCAGUCUGCAACUCGACUGCGUGAAGCUGGAAUCGCUAGUAAUCG